rnacentral:rRNA from 1 species
AUGUCACGCCUCCAGCCCCGCUCCUCACGCGCCAACGAGCUGCUAGACGAAUUCAAAUAUCAUCUGGGCUCCGGGACGCUCUGGCCGGAGCUCGCGCACCAACUGUUCGACGAAUUGCUGCGCCAACCCGUCCCGGUUUCAGCGCGCGCACUCAACGGCUUGUUUGCUGCCCUCGCGGAUGCGCCGCCCUCGGCCAACUGCGCAGAUGGCCCUGCCCUAGCCAUCAAUCUCUUCAACCGCCACCGGAUAUCACCUAACAUUUACACCUACAACAUACUAAUUGAGUGCUGCCACAGAGCAUGCCGCCCAGACCUAGGGCCUGCCUUCUUCGGCCGCCUCCUCAAGGCAGGCAUCACAAUGAGCGUCAUUACCUACAACAGCUUAUUCAAGUGCCUCUGUGACAUGAAGCGCACGGAGGAGGCUUCCGACGUGCUGCUCCACAGGAUGCCUGACGACCUGCCUGAUGUCAUCUCCUACUCAGUAAUUCUCAAGAGUUUCUGCGACAGUGGGAGGAGCCAGCGUGCGCUUGACCUGCUCCGGGUGAUGGCCAAAAAAGGUGGUGACUACUCUCCCAACGUGAUUUCAUACAACAUGGUAAUGGAUGGCUUUUUUAAGGAGGGUGAAGUAAGCAAAGCACGUGUUCUAUUCCACGAAAUGAUACAACAGGGGGUUGUGCCUACUGAGGUGACAUAUAGCUCCAUAAUCAAUGCGCUAUGCAAAGCAAGAGCAAUGGAUAAGGCGGAGGUGAUCCUUCGACAUAUGGUUCGUAGUGGUGUCCAACCACAUGAUAGGAUAUAUAAUACCCUGAUCCAUGGAUUUUUAACUUCAGGUCAGCUGAAAGAAGCCUUUAGGCUGUUGAAACUGAUGACAAGCCAAGGUGUUAUGCCAAGCGUUGUUACCUACAACUCACUCAUGACCUACCUUUGCAAGAAUGGAAGAUUCAAGGAAGCUGUAGAACUUUUUUAUUCAAUGGCUGUGAAGGGCCAAAAACCUAGUGUCGUCUCAUACUCUAUAAUACUCCAUGGGUACGCUAUAGAAGGAUCCCUUGUUAAAAUGAUUGAUCUCUGUGAGCUGAUGGCAAGAGACGGAGUUGUACCUAACCUCCAUUGUUUCAACAUACUGAUUAAUGCGUAUGCUAAGUAUGGCAUGAUGGACGUGGCCAUGCUUUUCUUCGAAGACAUGUUGAAGCAGGGUGUGAAGCCUAAUGAAUUCACUUAUUUAACUGUGAUAUCUGCGUUUUGCAAGAUGGGCAGGAUGGAUGAUGCGAUGGAAAAAUUCAGUGAGAUGAUUAAUAUGGGAGUACCACUUGACACAGAAGUUUACAUGUGCAUGGUUGAGGGUUAUUUGAAUCUUGGCAAUUCCAUGAAAGCCAAGGAAUUUAUUACCAAAAUGAAGAACAGGGAUAUUCAUCAUAGGCCACGGAAAGGUAAU